CAAGAAAUGAAACUCUGAGCUGCUCCGACCUAAGUCGACUCGAUAUGGUGCUGCAGCCGUGGCUUUAAGUCACCAGGGUGUAAGGUAGAAAUGCCUGCGCCUCCCGAAUUGGAAAGGUGUUUUAUGCUAUCUCAA
rfam:Leminorella grimontii ATCC 33999 = DSM 5078 strain ATCC 33999 GLGR.assembly.11, whole genome shotgun sequence.